rnacentral:rRNA from 1 species
GAUGAACGCUGGCGGCGUGCCUAAUACAUGCAAGUCGAGCGAACAGACGAGGAGCUUGCUCCUCUGACGUUAGCGGCGGACGGGUGAGUAACACGUGGAUAACCUACCUAUAAGACUGGGAUAACUUCGUGAAACCGGAGCUAAUACCGGAUAAUAUAUUGAACCGCAUGGUUCAAUAGUUAAAGACGGUUUUGCUGUCACUUAUAGAUUGAUCCGCGCCGCAUUAGCUAGUUGGUAAGGUAACGGCUUACCAAGGCGACGAUGCGUAGCCGACCUGAGAGGGUGAUCGGCCACACUGGAACUGAGACACGGUCCAGACUCCUACGGGAGGCAGCAGUAGGGAAUCUUCCGCAAUGGGCGAAAGCCUGACGGAGCAACGCCGCGUGAGUGAUGAAGGUCUUCGGAUCGUAAAACUCUGUUAUUAGGGAAGAACAAAUGUGUAAGUAACUAUGCACGUCUUGACGGUACCUAAUCAGAAAGCCACGGCUAACUACGUG